UUUUAUUAGAAGUCUUCACAUCGGCUAGUCCGCACUCCGAAAAAAUCGUGUUUGCUUUUCCCUCUUCCCAACUCCUUCAAGAAUGAGAACCAAAUCUGUAGUUGCAGCGGGUUUCUUCCUGCUGUUGAUCCUUACGACGUCUCGUGGUUUCCAGUCCGACGAGCUUCUUGCCGACGACGAGGAGUUUGGUCUCGAAGGUGGAAUCCGAUCCCGAACCGAUCCCAAUAACGUCAACUCAGCAACACCUCAGUCGACCCGGAGGAGGUUGGUCCCCGAUUCAGAUUCAAAGAUCCAGUUCCCUCUGGAACAUGCCUUUGGUGAUUCCGACUUCUCCCCUGCCGGCACCUUUACUGCUCGCCUCAAAUCUUCUUCUCAUGGUUCCCAGAUGCAAACGCUGACAAAGCUUCGCUUCUCCAGAAAUGCUUUUACUGGAACAGAGAAGGAGGGUUUCAAAAAACUCUUGAAAGGUGAUGACUUUUACAGAAUAAGAGUACCAUCCAACAUAUUGAACCUUCCUGGCAGAGAAUACGUUGUUUCCUCAGUGAAAGCACGGUGUCUUCCUCGGGAUGGUUUGGAGGAGCACUUUGUCAUACAUAUGGUCGGUGUGAAUAUUUUGGCUGUUAAUUAUGGUUCCCCUGGUGCAUGCCAGCACCCUCGUCAAUUGAAGUUUCCUGCAAAAUGGUCCUUUAACUCGCAUACAGUCCUAAAACCUACUGAGCAGGCACCCAGAACACCUAUAUUUUCAGAAGCUGUAGUUGGAGAGAAUGCAGAGGGCGACGAAGUGCACCCUCCAGAGAGAUCUUUUUGGGCUAAAUAUUGGAUGUAUUUGAUCCCUCUCGGACUCAUUGUUAUGAAUGCUAUGACCCAAGCAAUGAACAUGGCUGAAGAACAGACUAGUGGACAAGCAGGGGCUCAAGGACAACAGGCAAUUGGGGCUCAACGUGCACAAAAUACUGUAGUACGAAGAAGAUGAUAGCAUUGGGCAUUGCUUGAGGGGUGAUUUUCAAUCGUUUUGGGACCCCACGUGGCUAGUUGAUCAUUGAAGGCUACUACUUUGGGGUUGAGGAUCACAUUCCCACACGUGGCUAGUUGAGAUUCCAUAUCAGUGGAGUUUUGGUGAGUCCUCAUCUAUCGAGGACUAGUUAUGAGUUGUUUCCUUUCUAAAGACUUUGUUAUAUUCUUAUUGAUGGUGAGCUAGGGACAUGUCUUAGCCCUCUCCCAUCUUAAAUAGUGAAAGCAUUGUUGGACAUAUGUUGUAGAGUCUAUAUAGUCAAGUUUACAUCUCUUUUAUGAUCAUGUUUUAGACUCUUCCUAUGUUAUUUUCAUAUUUAUUUUA